rnacentral:rRNA from 1 species
CAAACGACUCUCGGCAACGGAUAUCUUGGCUCACGCAUCGAUGAAGAACGUAGCAAAAUGCGAUACUUGGUGUGAAUUGCAGAAUCCCGUGAACCAUCGAGUUUUUGAACGCAAGUUGCGCCCGAAGCCAUUCGGCCGAGGGCACGCCUGCCUGGGCGUCACGC